rnacentral:tRNA from 1 species
GGUGUGGUGGUGUAGUGGUUAUCAUGUCUGCUUUACACGCAGAAGGUCUCCGGUUAGAACCCGGACAGGACCA